rnacentral:snRNA from 1 species
UUCGAUUCCCAGUUCCAUUAAAAAUAAAAUUGGGACAAUACAGAGAUUAACAUGGCCCCCAUGGAAGGAUGACACACAAAUUCAUGCAGUGUUGGGACCGGGGAUAU